rnacentral:misc_RNA from 1 species
ACAGGAAGUUGUAGUAAUGGACAAGCCCUGUUGUUUAUAUAAAUCUCCAUCUACGUUGUAGAGUGAUAUAAGAAGACCUGCGUUAUGGCGCUUAAAUAUGGGAACAAAUGUUACGAUAGAUUUGGAGAUGGACCACUAUUGUGGACCGGGAAAUGGACGGAAAUGGAAUUGGAUGACCAGGAAAAAACAAGGACAGCUUUGCUGUUUAUUUCCCAUGGACUGGGGGAACACUUUGAUUAUUACGAUGAGCUUGGAUAUUUUCUGGUGAAUUCUGGCUUUCGAGUUUUCACACACGAUCACAUCGGCCAUGGGACUAGUUCCGGAACACACAGUCAUGUUGGAAACUUUAAGGAAUAUACCAAAUUAAUCUUUGACCACUGCGACGAAAUGAAGAAAAACUACCCCGAUUUACCAAUAUUUCUGUUUGGACAUUCAAUAGGCGGCGCUGCAGCUUUAUUAGCAGCUCUAGAAAAACCAGAAUAUUUCAAAGGCGUCAUCAUUUCAAGUCCUUUUGUCAUUCCUCCCAAAGUUUUUUCGUCCAGUGUAGAGAUGUUUUACUUUAAAAAUAUCGGAGCACGUAUGUUCCCUCAACAAGAACUUUCUCACAUCGACCCGAACGAGUUGUCACGUGAUCCCAAGAAAGUGGACAGAAUUAAAAAUGACCCGCUGUUCCACACUGCGUUCAAAGCAGGGUAGAGAAAUUUACACACUCUGGAAAGCUUGGCUUGAUUGUGCUGCAAAACUGCAACAAAAUUUCAGUUCGAUAAAAGUGCCGUUACUCGUUCUCCAUGGAGAAGCUGACAAAAUUGGCGAUAUAAAGUUCUCCCAAACUGUGUAUGGCGAGGCUCAGAGUCAGGACAAAGAACUGAAGAUAUAUCCAGGUUGUCUUCAUAAUCCCAUACUCGAACUAGAAGAAGAUAGGAAGCAAGUUUUGGAAGACAUUAAACAAUGGCUAGAAAAAAGGAUAUGAGUUGAUUCUAUGAAGCUAGUUAAAGGAAAACAGACCACUACACAAUGUGUUAUCAAGCGUCCAUACAAAACAGUUGAAAAAUAAUGAUCUGAAGAGUGCGUCCAAGAGAGACAAAAAGGUUUAAACGAUGUUAAAUACAGGAAAAAUAGGAAAAUCUUGCCAUGAAAAUGUUUAGUAACAUGUACAUUUUAUAAAGUUUUGAUCGUACGGUACAAAAAUAGCACAAGGUACCACGCUCCCAAUUAAAAAAACCUUGCUUGAAUUUGUCUUCGUAUACAGCGAAUAUGCAAUGAAAAAAAUGUUGAACACUGCCAUUUUCUUUUAUUAUGUUUCACCAAUUUUUUUUACGUAAUCUUUUAAUUUUGCAAUACUAAUUCUCGGAAUUGUAAUCUCCUUUGUACCGUAUUUUUUUCUAAUUGUAUCGCGAAAAUUUCUAGAUGUUUUUAUUAGUGUUGUAAAUGAAAUACAUUGUAUUGUAUAAUUGUAUUUUCAGUUUGUACUGAAGACCAUAUCAUCUGCAAUGUUUAUUGCUUAAAUGUACUUUAUAAAUUCCUUUUAUAUAUUGGGUUGUUAAUGGUGGAUUAAAAAUAAUAAUACUCUAUGAAA